rnacentral:rRNA from 1 species
UACGUAGGGUGCAAGCGUUAAUCGGAAUUACUGGGCGUAAAGCGUGCGCAGGCGGUUUUGUAAGUCUGAUGUGAAAUCCCCGGGCUCAACCUGGGAAUUGCAUUGGAGACUGCAAGGCUAGAAUCUGGCAGAGGGGGGUAGAAUUCCACGUGUAGCAGUGAAAUGCGUAGAUAUGUGGAGGAACACCGAUGGCGAAGGCAGCCCCCUGGGAUAACACUGACGCUCAUGCACGAAAGCGUGGGGAGCAAACAGG